GAGAGAGAGAGAGAGAGAGAGAGAGAGGUUCAGCUGGUAUCCCAUCCGAAUAAAAACGUGCUUUUUAAAAGGGCUCUAUAUCUGGUCAUUCGAUUAAACCAACGGCUGAGAUAAAAGCCUCCCCAGUUAACCCCAAAUGGAGCUUUCGACGGUAAAUCCACGACAUCUAUCCGGAGCCUCUCUAAGAUGAAAAUCGGCGAUUGAUAACAUGGCGUCCACCGACGGAGAAGAAGCAUAGACAGGCAGCGGUCAAUCUCGUCAGAUUCUCAUCUUGGUUUCCUUCCCGCAUUGCUAAAGACAAGAGGGGUUUGUUGCUCAUCUGGGUUUCCAUCACUCUUGCCCUUGAUUCUGCCAUUUCAGGCAUGAAAAAGCAGAGCUCAUGAUGCGAAGCAAUUCGGCUGGAGUUUGGAUUGAUGUUAUGCACAACAAGAAGAAAAAGAAAAGGGUGAACCAUGAGCUGGAUACUAUGUGAUAUUCCCAGAUUUUUAUGUAGCUUUUUACCAUGAAGAUUGAGUUGGAUGUAAAUUACGUUGCCCUAGUUCCACUUGAAUCAACAUCAUAUGGCCCUUGUUCUAUGUGCACUUAUAUUGUAUUUUGAAUGUAUGAUAAUUUUUAUAAGAUAUCAAUUUUGA